rnacentral:rRNA from 1 species
CACGUAGGGCGCAAGCGUUGUCCGGAAUUAUUGGGCGUAAAGAGCUCGUAGGCGGUCUGUUGCGUCCGCUGUGAAAACCCGGGGCUUAACCCCUGGCUUGCAGUGGAUACGGACAGACUAGAGGUAGGUAGGGGAGAAUGGAAUUCCCGGUGUAGCGGUGAAAUGCGCAGAUAUCGGGAGGAACACCGGAUGGCGAAGGCAGGUCUCUGGGCCACUACGUGACGCUGAGAAGCGAAAGCGUGGGGAGCAAACAGGG